rnacentral:rRNA from 1 species
UCGAGGAUAGUCUACAAUGGUCGAAAGAUUGAUAGUGCGACGCCGCGUGAACGAAGAAGCAUUUCGGUGUGUAAAGUUCUUUUCUAUGCGAGCAGGGAUUGGGAGGUUAAUAGCUUCCUGGUUUUGAUAUUAGUAUAGGAAUAAGCCACGGCUAACUCCGUGCCCGCAGCCGCGGUAAUACGGGGGUGGCAAGCGUUGUCCGGAAUUACUAGGCGUAAAGGGCAGGUAGUCGGAUUGGUAAGUUAAUUGUUAAAGGCCCAUGCGCACCAUGGGUAAGGCAGUUGAUACUGUGAGUCUGGAAGCGAGUGGGGGAAGACGGAAUGCCUGGUGUAGCGGUGGAAUGCGCAGAUAUCAGGAGGAACACCGAAGGCGAAGGCAGUCUUCUACGCUUUGCUUGACGCUAAACUGCGAAGGUGCGGGUAUCAAACA